GAGAGCUCUCACUCAGAGGAUUCAAACAUGUUCUGAAGGGGGCAGGAGAAGUCCCUUCUAGAAGACCACUCUGAGCUCUGCAUUACAGUCCAGCUAACAGACUAGGGCUGGGCCAUGGGAGCGCCACCCCAGGAGGGAGGGAGAACCCCAGAGGUGGGGGGGGGGGCAGAUACAGGUGGAGGGACCUGCCACUACCAUCCACCUGAGCCACAUCCUGGGGCCGUUGCUCUCCACACAAGCACCAGCCAGUCUGGAGGGUGGCUGUUCACAGGUCUACGAGGUUAGCCAGGAAGAGCAACAUAGUGGCAAGAUCCAGCCCCCAAAUAAACCACGUCCCGGCCUUUCUCAAGGGCACGAAAGCAGGUGGGAUGGUGCUGACCCACUGUCCCAUCUGUGUCAUGAAGAAACCACAGCAGAAGGCAGUAGGUGAGGGCGUAUCUGCCCAAAUACAAAGAGGGGCAGGGAAGAAGAGGACAGGUGGGACGAUGACUCAGGGUCCUCGAGCCCCAGGCCCCAGCCGGAGAUGCUCCUGGGGGUAGACCAGAAGGGGAGUGCCUGGGAACUACCAGGGAGCUCUGUAACAAGAUACAAAUGAUUCAUCAGUGUCCAGCAUCCUGCAAAACAAAUGUCACAGGAAUUCAAGGCAGAUGGGCACGUGAGACAGUGGAGUUUAGGGGUCAAGAGAACAAGUGAAAGAGUGUGGUGGCAGACAGAUCUGGGAUUGCAUUCUGACUCAACAGUGUGCCAGCUGAGUGACCCAGGACAAGGGACUUCAUUUGUCAUGCCUCAGUUUCCAUAUCUGUAUAGCAGGGGCAAGUACAGACUGACCUCAAAGGGUGAUUAUGGAGAUCACAUGACAUAAGGUGUGGAGUCACUUAGCCUGGCCCAUCAGUAAUUACAAGCAGCUAUUGCCACUGUAUGGACACGGAUGGGCACAAGUGGAUCUUUGCUGCCCCUGUUUCCAGCCAGCAUGCAUACCUCCUCCCAGUGGGUACAACCACGCGUGCUCUAAAGACCCAAGGUGGCUUUGCCUUGCCGUGGUGAUGGACACCAACCAAGUCAGCGUGCCUCCUCUCUCCAAUUCAAAGGCAUCCAAGGAAGUCCCUGCUCUGGGCCCCUUAACCUUGGAGCUAAUGUCUCCCUGGGUCUUCUCCCAGGCCUUGAGGAAACCCUCACCCUGAAGUCCCUGUCCCACCCUUCUCUCCGACUCACUUCUACUCAGGGUGGCCUGGCCAGCGCACCCGAGAAAGGGCUGCUUCCGGCACUCUGCGCGGAGGUCCUGCCUUCUGCUGUCCCUGGAGGCUCUGUUCCCGUUUCACCAGCUAUUUUGCUUCCUUGGCCAUCUGUUCUCUCCCUGUCAUCUCCUCUCUGUUUUAACCUUAACCACUACUUUGCUGCAGAUGGUACCAAACAGAUCCGUUCUUGACAUCCUUCAUGAUGCCUGCCCCCUCCUUCUCAUCUCCAGCAAGGGAACUUCUGCUGUGUCCUUUUUCAGGCUGUGACUCCAAAGCUCAGAGUUGAAUUCACCCCACAAGCCUCCCUCCUCAGCCUCAUCUGCUGUCAACUAUGCCACAGGUCAGGGGACAGACACCUGCAUUUUCCUCUUCCUAACAAGACUUCCCCUUUUCGAACCUGGCCAAGAACCUCCGCUGGGGUCAAGUCCACCGUCUGCUCCAGUUAUCUACCUGGUGUCCAUAAAUAGUGCCCUUGAACCCUCUAGAGGGCUCAGGAGCAGCAGCCCGAGAUGGAGACCACAAACUCCGGGAUUCCUUCCUGCAGUGCAGGAGCCCGUGUGCCCAUGCUCGGAGUUUGGGUCUGGAACAGCUUGUCUGUCAAAAAUGGACCUGAGAGCUGCAAUGAGGAUUUGGCCACGUAUUGGCGUGACAGGAAUCGAACCAAAACACAUUUUCUGUGUGGUCUGAGCUCACAAGGGAGACAAUACGCUGCUUUCCUUGCUUUUAUUCUGGCUACUGAUGAGAAAAUGCAUGCAUGGGCUUUAUUUAGCAACUCGCUCUGCCUCUCUUCUUCUGUUGGUUGUGUCCCGGCGCUCCCCUAAAAUUCUUCCUCUUGGCUUCUCUUUUCCGGCACAAGGACGAGGAACUUUGAGGAAAGAAGCAGCCCAGAGGCUCCCAAUGAUAGAAGCUGUUUUGGUGACAUUGGUUCCACCAGGCUGCAUUCCCUGAGCGGGACAGAAUUAGGCUGGGAAGACUGAAAUUCCACUUCUGCACCGGGGUUUGGGAUACAAAAGCCUCAUAUCUCAACCCUCUCAAGCAGGGCUCUUGUAUUUCCGCUCUACACUUCCUCUGCAGCGGAAAGAGAAGUGUCUCGGCUGUUGGUGGAACACUCCUCCCUUCUCCUCUCCAUCGGAGCUAAAGAGGGCCAUGUUAUGGACAGCUCCAAGAGAUGGAGCCUGCUCACCCCUGGCCACAUGGAGACUCUCAGGUCACCUAGGGAACCUCAGGGAUCAAAUGGACGAAGCACUGACAACCCCAUGGUCCCUUCCUCCCUCUGCCUCCCCUCCUUCUUCACACAAAGGAGACCCAAUCCAGCCACCAGGCCAGCCCAUCUGGCUAUGGAAACCAAAAGAACAAAAUGCAUCUUACUGGAUUGCAGACCUUAAUCUAGCUCUUGCUGAAUUAUUCAAAGAUGGCAUUAACUUAUAAAUGAGUGUGUUUGACUGAUUUUGUGGUUGAUGUACAGAUAAAUUCUAAUGAAAGACA
rnacentral:lncRNA from 1 species